GAUGAACGCUGACAGAAUGCUUAACACAUGCAAGUCGAUGGGGAAGUGGUGCUUGCACCAUGGUAACCAUGGCGGACGGGUGAGUAACGCGUAAGGGACUUACCUGCAGGACUGGGAUAACAGGGGGAAACUCCUGACAAGACCGGAUAAUGUCAUGGAGCUGCAUGGCUUUAUGAUGAAAGGAGACGCCUGCGGAGAGCCUUGCGUCCUAUUAGCUAGUUGGUGAGGUAAGGGCUCACCAAGGCGAAGAUAGGUAGCCGGCCUGAGAGGGUGGACGGCCACAAGGGGACUGAGAUACGGCCCUUACUCCUACGGGAGGCAGCAGUGGGGAAUAUUGGACAAUGGGGGCAACCCUGAUCCAGCAAUUCUGUGUGCACGAAGAAGGUUUUCGGAUUGUAAAGUGCUUUCAGCAGGGAAGAAGGAAGUGACGGUACCUGCAGAAGAAGCGACGGCUAAAUACGUGCCAGCAGCCGCCGUAACAC
rnacentral:rRNA from 1 species